rnacentral:rRNA from 1 species
AGUGAACGCUGGCGGUAGGCCUAACACAUGCAAGUCGAACGGCAGCACAGUAAGAGCUUGCUCUUACGGGUGGCGAGUGGCGGACGGGUGAGGAAUACAUCGGAAUCUACUUUUUCGUGGGGGAUAACGUAGGGAAACUUACGCUAAUACCGCAUACGACCUACGGGUGAAAGCAGGGGAUCUUCGGACCUUGCGCGAAUGAAUGAGCCGCUGUCGGAUUGGCUAGUUGGCGGGGUAAAGGCCCACCAAGGCGACGAUUCGUAGCUGGUGUGAGAGAAGGGUCGGCGACAUGGGAAGUGAGACACGCGCCAGACUACUACGGGAGGGACCAGUGUGGAAUAUUGGACAAUGGGGGCAAGCAUUACCCAACCAUACCGCGUCGGUGAAGAAGGCCCUCGGGUUGGAAAGCCCGUUUGUUGGGAAAGAAAAGCAGCAGGUUAAUACCCCGCUGUUCUGACGGUACCCAAAGAAUAAGCACCGGCUAACUUCGUG